GCUUUUUUAAUUAUUAAAAAUUAUCUUAAAGUAAAACGAUUAUUUUAGGAACUAAAGACGUAAUUUUUGUGUGUCUGAUUAACAACAGUAUCCUUUGAACCUUUGUCUGAUCAAGGAUGACAGAUAUAUCCUUAUUUUUCUUGCUAAAACUUUAGAAACCAUUUGAUAUUAUUCACUUGGACACUGGGCAUUCAGUUGUUAGCUCGCAAACUAAGGACAUCUGAUCAGGCAAAGGUUUAAGGGUGCCGUUGUGAAUCGGACAUGCUACCCUAUAAAUGGAAGGUUACUUGAAAUUAUUAUUUAGGUUAUUAUCUAUAUUUUUUCAGGAAAAGUGUAUACUGGUAAAAGAGUGGAAGAUCAGCUUGGAACUAUAAUUUCAUUUGGUUUAAUAGCUCUCUUUCUAGCUAUUAUAUCUAUUAUAUGCUGUAGGGUAUUCUGGUCUGUUUGUGGCUGGAAAGGAUGCUGUGAAUGCCAAUGCUCUAUUGCUCUUCACUGUUGUUGUGAACCCAAGAUUCCAAGUCUUCGAGUUAUUCCAGCAACAGGGGACGAGAUAAGACAUGGAAUAUCUUACAGGUCA